AAAUAAGUCAGUGGUGAAAAGCCCCGAAGCUCAACUUCGGAACUGCCCAUUGAAUACUGUUUAUCUUGAAUUUGGUUGAAGUGGGCGGAAAUAUGAACAUGUAGCGGUGAAAAUGCAUAGAUAUGUCAUGGAACACCAAUAGUGAAGACAGCUCACUAAGCCAAUAUUGACGCUGAGGUACGAAAGCAUGGGUAGCGAACAGGAUUAGAUACCCUGGUAGUCCAUGCCGUAAACGAUGAUUACUAGCUAUUAGCGAUAAAACUGUUAGUGGCAAAGCGAAAGCAUUAAGUAAUCCACCUGGGAAGUACGGUCGCAAGAUUGAAACUCAAAGGAAUUGACGGGGGCCCGCACAAGCGGUGGAGCAUGUGGUUUAAUUCGAUGAUACGCGAGGAACCUUACCAGGGCUUAAAUGCAUAUUGACAGGACUGGAAACAGUUUUUUCUUCGGACAAUUUGCAAGGUGCUGCAUGGUUGUUGUCAGCUCGUGCUGUGAAGUGUCGGGUUAAGUCCCAUAACGAGCGCAACCCCUAUCUUUAGUUGCCAGCGAGUAAUGUCGGGGACUCUAGAGAAACUGCCCGUGCAAACGGUGAGGAAGGUGGGGAUGACGUCAAAUCAUCACGGCCCUUACGUCCUGGGCUACACACGUGCUACAAUGGCCGGUACAGAGGGCAGCUACCCCGCGAGGGGAUGCAAAUCUCAAAAGCCGGUCUCAGUUCGGAUUGGAGUCUGCAACUCGACUCCAUGAAGCUGGAAUCGCUAGUAAUCGCGCAUCAGCCAUGGCGCGGUGAAUACGUUCCCGGGCCUUGUACACACCGCCCGUCAAGCCAUGGAAGCUGGGGGUGCCUGAAGUCGGUGACCGCAAGGAGCUGCCUAGGGUAAAACUAGUAACUGGGGCUAAG
rnacentral:rRNA from 1 species